rnacentral:rRNA from 1 species
UACGUAGGGGGCAAGCGUUGUCCGGAUUUAUUGGGCGUAAAGAGCGUGUAGGCGGUUAGGUAGGUCCGUUGUGAAAACUCGAGGCUCAACCUCGAGACGCCGAUGGAAACCAUCUGACUAGAGUCCGGAAGAGGAGAGUGGAAUUCCUGGUGUAGUGGUGAAAUACGUAGAUAUCUGGAGGAACACCGGUGGCGAAGGCGGCGACCUGGUCCGUAUACUGACACUCAUACACGAAAGCGUGGGGAUCAAACAGGG